rnacentral:rRNA from 1 species
UGGGGAAUAUUGCACAAUGGGCGAAAGCCUGAUGCAGCAACGCCGCGUGAGGGACGACGGCCUUCGGGUUGUAAACCUCUUUUAGCAAGGAAGAAGCGAAAGUGACGGUACUUGCAGAAAAAGCGCCGGCUAACUACGUGCCAGCAGCCGCGGUAAUACGUAGGGCGCAAGCGUUAUCCGGAAUUAUUGGGCGUAAAGAGCUCGUAGGCGGUUUGUCGCGUCUGCUGUGAAAACCCGAGGCUCAACCUCGGGCCUGCAGUGGGUACGGGCAGACUAGAGUGCGGUAGGGGAGAUUGGAACUCCUGGUGUAGCGGUGGAAUGCGCAGAUAUCAGGAAGAACACCGAUGGCGAAGGCAGAUCUCUGGGCCGUAACUGACGCUGAGGAGCGAAAGGGUGGGGAGCAAAACAGGCUUAGAUACCCUGGUAGUCCACCCGUAAACGUUGGGAACUAGUUGUGGGGUCCACUCCACGGAUUCCGUGACGCAGCUAACGCAUUAAGUUCCCCGCCUGGGGAGUACGGCCGCAAGGCUAAAACUCAAAGGAACUUGACGGGGUCAUAGCUG